UACGUAGGGUGCGAGCGUUAAUCGGAAUUACUGGGCGGAAAGCGUGCGCAGGCGGUUUUGUAAGCCAGAUGUGAAAGCCCCGGGCUUAACCUGGGAAUGGCAUUUGGGACUGCAAGGCUUGAGUGCGGCAGAGGAGACUGGAAUUCCUGGUGUAGCAGUGAAAUGCGUAGAUAUCAGGAGGAAUACCGAUGGCGAAGGCAGGUCUCUGGGCUGACACUGACGCUCAUGCACGAAAGCGUGGGGAGCAAACAGG
rnacentral:rRNA from 1 species